GACGAACUCUGGCGGCGUGCUUAACACAUGCAAGUCGAACGGAAAGGCCCUGCUUUUGUGGGGUGCUCGAGUGGCGAACGGGUGAGUAACACGUGAGUAACCUGCCCUUGACUUUGGGAUAACUUCAGGAAACUGGGGCUAAUACCGGAUAGGAGCUCCUGCUGCAUGGUGGGGGUUGGAAAGUUUCGGCGGUUGGGGAUGGACUCGCGGCUUAUCAGCUUGUUGGUGGGGUAGUGGCUUACCAAGGCUUUGACGGGUAGCCGGCCUGAGAGGGUGACCGGCCACAUUGGGACUGAGAUACGGCCCAGACUCCUACGGGAGGCAGCAGUGGGGAAUAUUGCACAAUGGACGGAAGCCUGAUGCAGCAACGCCGCGUGCGGGAUGACGGCCUUCGGGUUGUAAACCGCUUUCGCCUGUGACGAAGCGUGAGUGACGGUAAUGGGUAAAGAAGCACCGGCUAACUACGUG
rnacentral:rRNA from 1 species